rnacentral:pre_miRNA from 1 species
AGAGGGAUAGCUGGGUCAAAUGGUGGUUCCAUAUCCAAUUUUCCAAGAAAUCUCCAUACUGCUUUCCAAAUUGGCUGCACCAAUUUGCAGCCCCACCAGCAAU